UGGGGAAUAUUGGACAAUGGGGGGCAACCCUGAUCCAGCAAUGCCGCGUGUGUGAAGAAGGUCUUCGGAUUGUAAAGCACUUUCGACGGGGACGAUGAUGACGGUACCCGUAGAAGAAGCCCCGGCUAACUUCGUGCCAGCAGCCGCGGUAAUACGAAGGGGGCUAGCGUUGCUCGGAAUGACUGGGCGUAAAGGGCGUGUAGGCGGUUUACACAGUCAGAUGUGAAAUCCCCGGGCUUAACCUGGGAGCUGCAUUUGAUACGUGUAGACUAGAGUGUGAGAGAGGGUUGUGGAAUUCCCAGUGUAGAGGUGAAAUUCGUAGAUAUUGGGAAGAACACCGGUGGCGAAGGCGGCAACCUGGCUCAUGACUGACGCUGAGGCGCGAAAGCGUGGGGAGCAAACAGGAUUAGAUACCCUGGUAGUCCACGCUGUAAACGAUGUG
rnacentral:rRNA from 1 species